GUUCCUACGGGACAAGKGGGUAUGCGCAAGGGCGAAAGCCUGAUGCAGCGACGCCGCGUGAGGGAUGACGGCCUUCGGGUUGUAAACCUCUUUCAGCAGGGAAGAAGCGAAAGUGACGGUACCUGCAGAAGAAGCGCCGGCUAACUACGUGCCAGCAGCCGCGGUAAUACGUAGGGCGCAAGCGUUGUCCGGAAUUAUUGGGCGUAAAGAGCUCGUAGGCGGCUUGUCACGUCGAUUGUGAAAGCUCGGGGCUUAACCCCGAGUCUGCAGUCGAUACGGGCUAGCUAGAGUGUGGUAGGGGAGAUCGGAAUUCCUGGUGUAGCGGUGAAAUGCGCAGAUAUCAGGAGGAACACCGGUGGCGAAGGCGGAUCUCUGGGCCAUCACUGACGCUGAGGAGCGAAAGCGUGGSCGAACAGGAUUAGAUACCCUGGUAGUCAU
rnacentral:rRNA from 1 species